CCGGGAGCGGCGCGGCGGCCGGGGCUGCUGAGGGAGCUGCGGUGCGAGGCUGUGGUUAUUGGCGCUGCUUGUCUUCGAAAUCGGGCACUUACCUCUAAUGAAAGCAAUGGAAGUUGGUCAGUGGCCGGAGCGUGCACCACCAUGACCAAAAGAUGUCCCAGGAGCAUGGUUUCUAGUGUGUUUUGCUGGAAGUUUGGGAUCUCCCUGUGUGGUGAAAGCCUCUGAGCUUGAGAAGGGCAUGUGGGAAGAAGCCGCCAAGUGCUGAUUGCAGAGCUGAAAAAAUACAACUAAUCUUCAGUGAAGUGAUGAAACUCCUCCAGGUUGGCCAUAAUGCUCUUGAAAGUAAUAAAAUCUGAAAGUUUCAUCAAUGAAAUGUGAGAAUCUGCUUGAGCAACACAGAUGCACUGAAUCCUUUACCCCUGCUGCUGAUAGGAAGUGAGCCUGUGAAAUCCAUCCACAACUUCUGCACCCCAGGCACUGUGGGCAAGGAACAAUUGCUAGAACCAGCCUGAGAGCAAUGCCUGUCUAUUGAAACACUCCUGCCUAAGAAACAAAAAAACUGUUUAAAAGAUGGACUACUAAGCCUCCAUGUAGUAAUACAAAGUGCAUUUAACUGCAUUGUGUCAGUGUCUGGUAAUGUUUAUAUAGACAAAGAAAUAAAGAUUUAUGUUUCUCUUCUCAGAA